rnacentral:rRNA from 1 species
UUACCCGCUGGAAUUUAAGCAUAUAAGUGAGCGGAGGCCAAGAAACUAAAGAGGACUCCCCUAGUAAUGGCGAAUGAACAGGGAUCAGCUCAGUAUGGAAAUCGGGCCUGUGGUCUUGACUUGUGGUCUCCAGAUGUGUUGCCAGCGGAGGCGCAGGUGUGUGCCUCUUGGAAAAGAGCAUCAGCGAGGGUGAGCAUCCCGUUCCUUUGCAGCCCUCCGCGCCCGGCGUGCAUUAUUCGAGUCGCGCUCUUCGGAAUUGGAGUGCAAAUUGGGUGGUAAAUUUCAUCUAAAGCUUAACAUUGGUUCAAGACCGAUAGCAAACAAGUACCAUGAGGGAAAGGUGAAAAGGACUUUGAAAAGAGAGUUAAAAGUGCCUGAAGUUGCUGAAAAGGAAGCGAAUGGAACCUGUGUUGCUGGGCGAGAUUGUUGCGUGCUCAUAUGAUUGCUUGCUCCUGCAGCGUGAGUGCACGGGUGAGCCUUGUCUAGGAUGCAUGCAGUGGUUCUUGCCUUGUCUGUCAAAUCCAGUUUACACUCGAGGACAAUGCCAGGGGCAUUGUAAGCUGGCCUCGGCUGCCUGAAUACGCCUGGCGGGACUCUUCGUUGAACUGCUAUGUGUGUGUCUGGUUGCAGUGCCUUUGUGAAAGACUCAUUCUGGUGGAGGGAACUUCAACUGGAAUUGCUGACAAAGGUGCCUCCCUGAUACAUCGUGGAUGACCAAAAGGCUCCACUCGACCCGUCUUGAAACACGGGACCAAGGA